rnacentral:rRNA from 1 species
CCUCGGGAGGCUGCAGUGGGGAAUAUUGGACAAUGGGCGAAAGCCUGAUCCAGCCAUGCCGCGUGUGUGAAGAAGGCCUUCGGGUUGUAAAGCACUUUCAGUGGGGAAGAAAGCCUUGGGGCUAAUACCCUCGAGGAAGGACAUCACCCACAGAAGAAGCACCGGCUAACUCCGUGCCAGCAGCCGCGGUAAUACGGAGGGUGCGAGCGUUAAUCGGAAUUACUGGGCGUAAAGCGCGCGUAGGCGGUCUGAUAAGCCGGUUGUGAAAGCCCCGGGCUCAACCUGGGAACGGCAUCCGGAACUGUCAGGCUAGAGUGCAGGAGAGGAAGGUAGAAUUCCCGGUGUAGCGGUGAAAUGCGUAGAGAUCGGGAGGAAUACCAGUGGCGAAGGCGGCCUUCUGGACUGACACUGACGCUGAGGUGCGAAAGCGUGGGUAGCAAACAGGAUUAGAUACCCUUGUAGUC